rnacentral:lncRNA from 10 species
UCCUGAGAGCUGCUGUUCCAGUAAGGUGACUCUACAGGUGGCAUGCAUCCAGAAGCCAAAAGCCCAACUGUCACACCUCCAGGAUUAGGGGAGAAUCUGGGAGGUAGAAGUUCAGGGAUGAUUCAGAGCCCGGCAUGCCAGUGCUUCCUCCACGGUAAGGUUUGGAAAAGAAGACUAAGAAUAAGAAUCAUUGCGGCCAGCCUGACCUUGGGGCAGAGGAUUUGGCAACCACCUGGCCUCUUAUUAUCCUGAGUAUUUCCUGGAAGUGUUUGUUACUAUUGUUAUUGUUAUAGCUGCUAUUAUUAUUAUAUUACUAUUUAACAAAUAAUUUACUCAGUGGUAUAGUGAGAUGGGAAUAUCAAUACAUUUGCCUAAUUCUUUUAAAUGUUUUAAGUAGUGUAAAAUAUACAUAACAUAAAAUUUACCAUUUUAAUCAUUUUUAAGUAUAUGGUUUAGUGGCAGUAGAUAUGUUUACAUUAUUGUGCAACCAUCCAUCUCCAGAACUUUUGUCUGCCCAAACCGAGAAACUGUUCCCAUUAAACAUUAACUCCUCAUUCC